UCUAGAUGUGUCCUCUACUUCUGCUUACUUUGUAAUUUAAAUCUAGAUCUAGACUCACUCACUAUGUUUUACUCACUGGAUCACUUGGCCUAAAAUGAAUUUGAAGAAUUUUUUCCAAGACUUCAAUCCAAGUAAAUUUGUAGUUUUUACGUGCCUAUUGAUUUUUACCAUCCUCUUCUCGCUGCGAUUGGACAAGAGCAUUGAAUGGAGCUAUUGGUUUGUUUUCUUUCCCAUCUGGGUCUGGAAAUUGUUGGUCUUAGUUGGUGCUUUUAUAGGUAGUUCUGUUUGGUUACGGAAUCCACA
rnacentral:sRNA from 1 species